rnacentral:tRNA from 36 species
GCGGACGUGGCGAAACUGGUAGACGCAAGGGACUUAAAAUCCCUCGGCCUUUGGCUGUACGGGUUCGACCCCCGUCGUCCGCACCA